rnacentral:lncRNA from 1 species
AAUCAACAGACAUCAUAAAAGAAAUCAUAAAAAAGCUAUCUAAUUCAUUAGUCUAAUGGACUCAAAGGCUUUAGAUCUUUUAGAUUAUUUAUUUCUAUAUUUAAGUAUUUUAUUACUUUGAUAGUUAGUAAUCCAACAUAAUCCAAUAUAAUCUGUCAUCUCUUCUUUAAAGCUCGUCUGAGCAAGUAUUUGAACACACCUUAAAAAUCUAAUUCCCUAUG